rnacentral:sRNA from 1 species
UACCAAAACGACAUGGUCAUUGUGAAUU